CAAAACUAAGUGGAUUAUGCUUAUCUCCUACAGCUUUUGCCAAGAUGAAGCAAAUCAAACUGCUCAUCUUGUGUGGUUAUGGCUGCGAACAUGAUAUACAUUUGCCUCAAGGCUUGGAAUCCCCCCUGAUGAGCUAAGACAUUUCCAAUGGAAUUUCUAUCCUUUGAAAUCUUUGCCAUCAAAUUUUCAUCCUGACAACCCC
rnacentral:misc_RNA from 1 species